AACUUUCAUUUGCUUUCCUAAUACAAAUUCGUAUUUCUUAGUAGCUCUUAUCUUUCUCUUUACAUUUCUUGGUUUUUCUGGGUUCUUCAAUCUUUCACUUUCACAAGAGAUUUAAUUUUUGCAAAUUAUCAUAGAUCACUCAUAAUGGUUAAUAGAAUUCAGAUUUGGAGCAAAAAUAUUCAACACUUCGAUGAUGCUAUUUUGGACAAAAUUUCCAAGUGAUGUAUAGAUUUUCAAGUUUGUCACCAGAAAUUUUUAAGCGUGUCAAGCAGAUGAUCAGGCUUAGUUCUCAGAACAGGAGAUCCAUUUGAUGAACCACUCAUCUUCUAUAGUAAUACCAAUCAAGCUCAAGCAUUUGAGAUUUGAGCAAAAAGAAAGGCGAUAUAAAAAGUUCAGAGUUGUUGUCUGGUGAUCCGAGAUCUUGGGCACUUGAAUCUUCAGGAUCUUUUUGGUAGCUUGACAUGUACUGGAAGUAAAGAGCUCAAGGGGCUUCUUGCUAAUUCAGCAGUCUGUUUUAUGGGUAUGGGAAUGAAAUCAAAACUCAGUCACCUAGAAGGGAAUAGAUCAAAUGGCGAGAUUUGCAGGACAGGUGCAGAGUUGAGCUAUUUGGCUGCUAGGAUUUUGAACAAACCCAAUGUGCAAAAUUAUGGAUCAGCUGUUGGGCAUGCUUGCUUGAAAUUCAGCACUGGAUUUAGGGUUACCUACCAUACAUGAUGAUAGUAUGUAUGGGAUUUUAUGUUUCUAUGCUUUUGGUUUGGUAAUGACAUUGUACUAGUUAAAUUACGCAGUUACUUUAUUUUACGUCGUGGUCCAUCUUAAUUCCUUCUUAUUUUGAAGUUUGAAAAACGUGUUUACAAGA